GACGAACGCUGGCGGCGUGCCUAAUACAUGCAAGUCGACCUUAGUGGCGAACGGGUGAGUAACACGUGGGUAACCUACCCAUCAGAAGGGGAUACCACUUGGAAACCGGUGCUAAUACCGUAUACUGAUGGAUGUACCCGCGGUGCAUUAGCUAGUUGGUGAGGUAACGGCGCACCAAGGCCACGAUGCAUAGCCGACCGGAGAGUGUGAUCGGCCACAUUGGGACUGAGACACGGCCCCAACGCCGACGGGAGGCAUCAGUAGGGAAUCUUCGGCAAUGGACGAAAGUCUGACCGAGCAACGCCGCGUGAGUGAAGAAGGUUUUCGGAUCGGAAAACUCUGUUGUUAGAGAAGCGGUAUCUAACCAGAAAGCCACGGCUAACUACGGGCCAGCCGCCGCGGUAAUAC
rnacentral:rRNA from 1 species